UACGUAGGGUGCAAGCGUUAAUCGGAAUUACUGGGCGUAAAGCGUGCGCAGGCGGCUUUGCAAGACAGAUGUGAAAUCCCCGGGCUUAACCUGGGAACUGCAUUUGUGACUGCAUGGCUGGAGUGCGGCAGAGGGGGAUGGAAUUCCGCGUGUAGCAGUGAAAUGCGUAGAUAUGCGGAGGAACACCGAUGGCGAAGGCAAUCCCCUGGGCCUGCACUGACGCUCAUGCACGAAAGCGUGGGGAGCAAACAGGAUUGAGA
rnacentral:rRNA from 1 species